UACGUAGGGGACGAGCGUUGUCCGGAAUUAUUGGGCGUAAAGAGCGUGUAGGCGGCUCUGCAAGUCCUGCGUGAAAUCUCGAGGCUCAACCUCGAGCGGUCGUGGGAAACUGGAGGGCUAGAGUGCGGGAGAGGGAAGUGGAAUUCCAGGUGUAGCGGUGAAAUGCGCAGAUAUCAGGAAGAACACCUAUGGCGAAGGCAGCACUCUGGGACGGUACUGACGCUGAGACGCGAAAGCGUGGGGAGCGAACAGG
rnacentral:rRNA from 1 species